AUGGGUGUGAGCGAAGAGAGUGAACAAGAUCUCUCCCUUCAGCAAGCCAGAGCCUCCUAAGAGCCCCCGGGGAACAACCUUGGGGGCUCUGUCAGCCAGUCCCUUUAUCUUCAGCAUCGACUCUGUCCGAGACAGUGUUUUGGCGCUAAACUAAACAAAUAACCCGCUCUCAGGAGGUUUUCUGGUGUAGGUGUUGGGUGACACGGGAGACUCCCUAGCGAAUCCAUGCAAUAAUUUCUCAAGGGCUAGAGAGUGAUGGAAGAAGGAGAAGACUUUCCACGGGGGAUCAGGAAAGCCCCUUUAGAGGUGGCAUUUGAGCUGAAAGUCGGAGGCAGAGAAGAAGGAAGCAUGGUGAAGACCGUGGGAACAAGGAAUCCGGGCUCAAGGAAAAGCCAGUGCAGAGAUCCAGAGGCAGGAGCCAGCUCAAUGUUUCAACGUGAGCUGCUGGGGAAAGAGGGCACAGAGCAAGGGAAAUGGAACCCAAGGCCAAUGUCAGGUGUGGUGGUGUAGGCUGUGAUAAGGAAUUUGGGCUUUUUCUGGUUGCAGUGGGAAGCUAGUGGAAGACUUUGAGCUUGGGAAUGCCCCUGAUCUGACUUAUGUUUUAAUAGUUUGGAUGAAGAAUGGGCAGGAGAUAGGUAAGAGUGGAGGCAGGGAGACAAAUUAGGUGGCUUUUGCAGUAAUCCAGGCAGCAUCAACCAGAGAUGGUGGUGGCUUAAAUUCAUGUGUAGCAGUGCACUGGUGAGAAGUCAGACUCAGGAUUUCUUUUGGAGGUGGGACCAGGUGGAGUGAAGAGAAUAACCGAGGAUGCUCCCUAAACUUUCGUUCUGAACAGCUGAAUGGCUGAUGGUGCCAUUUCUGUGAUGAUGAACAUUUGGAGAAAAUGCCUGUCAGACAUCCAAGUGGACACGUGUACAAACAAUUGGAAUUACAAAUUUAGAGCUGGAAAUACAAAUGAAGGAAACAUCAGCAUAUGAAUGGUAUUGAAAACCAUGGACCCAACACUCAGGGCAAGAGAUCCAGAUUAGAGCCCUGUUCCACUCCUGGAUGCAGAGAUUUGAUACAUGUGGGGAAUAAACCUGUGAAGGAGGAAGGAAACCAGGCUAGAGUCUGGGGUUACUGAACACAGGGAAAGUGCUGCCACCAUGUCAGUUGCUCCUGUGGGGCUGAGAAUAUGGCAGACUGAGCAUGAAGAUGGGCUUUGGCAAGACAUAGUCAUGGAUGACCUUCAAAAGAACUGGUUCAGAGAAGUGAUGGAGUCCAGGACCCAUAUGGCAAGGGUUGAAAGGAAUGAGUACCUAGCACUCUGCCUGACACAAGCUCAGUAAAUGUGUGCUGAAUAAGUGAAUCCUUGAAAUGUUAAACUGGCAUCACAACAAGGAAAUAAACCAAAAAAAGGAAGACACAGAAUCUAGGAAACAAGAAUUCAAACCCAAGAGAUGGUUUUUAGGGUGCAGUCCAAUCCAAUAGGACUGGUGUCCUUAUAAAAAGAUAUGAUUAGGACACAAACAAAAUGAAGGCAUAACCUUGUGAGGACCCAGAAGAUGGUCAUCUGCAGUCCAAGGAGAAGGCCUUAGAAGAAACCAAAUCUGACAACAUCUUGGCCUUGGGCUUCCAGCUUCCUGAACUACAAGCACCAUUUGAGAUAUUUACUAAUUCUGAACAGAAAUUUUGGUAACUAUUCAGCAAAUCUUAAUGAGAAUUGUGAAGAAGAGAAAUAAUUUUGCUGAAGAGGCAAAACAAAUUAGUAAAGUGUCAGAUCCAUUUC